rnacentral:tRNA from 1 species
GUCCCUGUAGUGCAAGGGAUAGCCCGUUGGACUUCUGAUCCAAAUGUUGUGGGUUCGAAUCCCACCUGAAAUG